rnacentral:rRNA from 1 species
AUGCAGAUGGAUGAAGUCAUUGACCUUGUGUCAGAAGACGAUAUUGCCUCCUAUGAGGAGACAAGUUCUGAAGAUACUGUAGAUGUGAAAGUCUGUGACGUAUGUGGAAAUGUUGGUGAGGAGAAGAAGCUCGCUGUUUGCAGCAGAUGCAAUGAUGGUGCUGUGCAUAUUUACUGUAUGUUGGUAAUGCUUCAAGAGGUUCCAGAGCGCGGGUGGUUGUGUGAUGAGUGCCAAGCUGAGGUAGAAAUUGAAAUUGAAAAGAAGAAACUUGAGAAAUCUCAAGUAAAUUUUGUCAUGGUCUCCAUGGAGAAUAAAGUGGAUGCUGAAAAGGCUAAAGACGCGUCUAAUGUGGCUCGUUGGAAUAAAAGGUUAAACAGACAGAGCGAGGCCAAUUUUUUAGAAGAGAUCAAAGAUGUGAAAGUAUGCGACAUUUGUGGAGAUGUUGGUGAAGUGGAGAAGCUCACUGUUUGUGGUAGAUGCAAUGGUGCUGAACAUGUUUAUUGUAUGCAGGUGAUGAUGGAAAAGGUUCCAGAUGUCAUGUGGUUGUGUGAAGCAUGUCAAACUGAGGUAGAAUUUGCAGAGGAAAGGACGGAACUAGAAAAAUCCCAAGUAAUGGUUGGUGCAUGUAAAUUAGAGUCCUUUGGAGGGCAAACGAAUAAACCUGUGGAUGAUGCAAAUAGCGGAAGUUAUUUUGAGGAUGAAAUGGAGGCUGCACAUGUGAGUAGUAAAAACUCAAACAUGAGAAAUCAAUCCAACGGUAUGACUACCAAGAGGAUAGGAGACGAUGCAACAAUUACGUUACUGAUUGGAAAAGAUCUUUCUGAAUCUGGUGGUGUAUCCAUGGAAGGUGACUCUGCAAAAAGAGCGCCGCUUUCGCGCAAAAAUUCACUCAAGCUGGACACAGAGAAAGGAAAGGAACCUGCUAGGCCAAUGCCAACACCAUUGACAUUGAAUGCCCUGAAGAAUCAGGCACCACCUCUUUGUGGUCCACUCCUGAAGUCCAUUUCUUUCAAGAACUCAAAGGUCCCGAAGGUGAAACAACUGGUCACUGAAGUUCCUCAAAAGCCCAAAAAUCUGAAGGAACCUAUAUCCUUAAUUACAAAACAAGACGGGCCAGUGAUCACACUUGCUAAGUCGACAUCAGUCAAAAAGCUGAACUCUAGCGAGCCGGUAAGUAAAGGAAAGUCUUCCAUCUUACUAGAUGUUGAGGAACCAAGAAUGAUGAAUUCAGUAAUGACCCGAAAUGUAACGAAUAAGAGGGGCACUUCUAUAUCUGGAUAUCCCUCUGUUGCUGCAUCAAUGCUUGUGCCAGUUCCUUCGAAAGCAGAAUCCGCAGCUCAGCAUCUCAAUAAACAAAAUAAGAUGGAUAAUUUAGGCAUCGCUUAUGGACAAGACGGUAGAAACUUUCCUGCACCUAGUGAACCAAAGAGACAGCUUGUAGCAAAAGUCCUGGGAAGCCUAACGUUAAUUAGUGCUGAGACAUCCUCAGGUCUGCUUUGUUCUGGUGCACAGAUGAAGGGAAUUCAAAUCCCGGAUACUUCACUGGUUGAUAAAAUAAAGAACCCACCUAGCUUGAAGCCAGGUACUUCUAGCAGCAGUUGCACAAUGCAUUGUCAACAAUGUGAUGAAGUGGGACAUUCUACACAAUUUUGUCCUGUUGGCAGAUCUAGCUUGUUUGUAACAAAACCUUUGAGUGAGCAAACCAGUGACCGAACUGCCAGAUGCAAUAGAACAUCUGAAGCUACUACUUUGACUGCUACUGAAGACAUUUUGAAAUCAGCAUAUCAAUCUGAGCCAAGUCCAAAACGCCGCCGCUAUCAUAACCCAUCAUAUAAGCCUAUAAAUGUAUUAUGUACCUCCAUUAGUCAUGAGGAAAGCAGUGAGCAGGAUGUGAGAAAUGGUAUGCCUACUCCUAGUACUACAGCUUCUGUAGAUUGUCACGAGCUAAAGUACAAAGAGCAUCAGGCUGCAUCUGCCAUGGGAGGAAGAUUUGUGGACAGCAGUUCAACUAUGUUGAAUGAUUCGACGGACAAAUCGCCAAUCUUUUCACCUAGUGAUGACAGAAUAACUUCUAGUGUUCCAGAGUUGGCUUACAUUUGGCAAGGUUGUUUUGAAAUAUGGAGGACUGGACGGUCAUCUAAGUUUUGUAAGGGCUUGCAAGGACACUUAUCAUGUUCUGCUUCACAAAAGGUUUUGGAAAUAGCAAAGAAAUUCCCUUCUAAAAUCCGGCUUGAGCAACUUCCUCGCCGGAAUAUAUGGCCCCCACAGUUCCAUGGAAAUGGCCUUUCGUAUGACAGUAUUGGUCUUUUUUUCUUUGCACAAGAUAUCCAGAGUUAUGAGAGGCAUUACAGUAAGUUAGUAGAAUGGAUGCUGAAAGGCGAUUUGGCACUCAGAGGAAACAUUGAAACAGCUGAAUUGCUCAUAUUUCCUUCCAAUAUCCUGCCAAAAAGCUUUCAAAGAUGGAACAUGUCCUAUUAUCUAUGGGGUGUAUUUAGAGUCAGAAGAAAAGAUUCUAACCUUCCAUAUCAUGUACCUACAAGAAAACAUUGUAAUUUCAAUGGAAAUCUCUUGGCCGUGGGUCGAAGAACUCAUGCCCACGCUUCUUCUGGCCCCAGUUUCUAUUACUCACCUACUUGUGAAGACUCUCCAUCUAUCAUGCCCUUGGAAGCUAAUCAUGAGGGUUGCCCCAAUGGUGAGAAUUCUCUAGGGAAAGAGAGGACAGCCGUCAACCAUGACAAUGCAGAGGACCUGUUGCGACCCAGUGUAGUUGACCUACAACGGCGACCGCAAUCAGUAUGUCGCUAA